ensembl:lncRNA
AUGCCGGCUGAGAUCUUUUGGCACGGCACCCGAUGUGCCGAUCACCACCGGGACCACCUGUACUGGUUUCUGCCAGAGUCUUUGAAGUUCAAUCUUGAGGUCCUGAUAGCGGCUGAGUUUUUCCUGUUGUUUUUCAUCAAUGCGACUGUCACCUGGGAUGGGAACAUCAAUGAUCCAAACAUUUUUCUUUUCCACAACUGUGAUAUCUGGUGUGUUGUGUUCCAGAACUUUGUCAGUCUGGAUUUGGAAGUCCCACAGUAUCUUUGUGUGCUCAUUUUCCAAUACUUUUGCAGGACGAAGGGGAGGAGGACGCCAUGUCAGAACCCUGCUACUAGAGCCUGGAUGUGGCUCUGAGUUUCAGGGUCACUGACAUUGAUAAGACACCUGCGUCCCAGGACUCGGAGGAGAAACGGCUGAUGGACUUGGCGGGGAAUUUGCGCGGGGUUUUACUGAGCGGGAAGAGACUGUUCAAAUGAGGGGGAGGGUAUAUAAAGGAGGGUUGGCCGGAGCCUCCCAUUCUUGGCUUUUCUGAUGUUCAUGUUUCCUACAGUAAAAGUUCCUGGUGAUACCACAAAGAGUCUCGUGUGUUCAUUCAGGAGCGGCUGUGGUGAGCUGACACCCAGGUCUUUAAGCCACUCUCCAUAGUGCAUAAUAAUAUAAACAUAAUAACAAUAGAACAUAAUAAUGUAAAGAUAAUUUUGAUCACAGCAUAAGUUUCUGAGGCCCACUUCAUCAUAUACACAUAGCAUCUUAGAUAUAAGUAAAUGGAGAAAGCAUAUUAAAUCAUCUCCCCGCACCCAUGCUGGCACACCCACUCUCCCAUUCUCUAUAUUUCCUGAUACGUGAUGAGAGAACAAAGUUUUUAAAAAGUCUGAUGAGGAUCUAUUUAAAGGAGGCAGAUGAGAUUUAUGGUAAGUACAACUUUGUGCUAAUGCCUGAACCAUUACAAAUAAAUAUGAUGGACUGAAACUUAAGUGCAUCCUGUUUACACAGAGAUGUAUCUUGAACUGAUACAUAAUUCAGCAGUUUGGCUUUCUACAUCUAGAAACAGAUAUUGUGAAAGAUCAGGAUUCCUGUGCUUAUAUAUUAAUUUUGUUAACAUCCAAAAUUGCUUUCCUUUAAUGUAAAUCCUGGUGAAUUAAUUUGGAAAAUGGUUGAAUUGAUUGUUAAAAUGUUUGUGGAAUGACUGCAGAAAGGCAUUGUGCCCUGAGUGAUGGUUCACUUAGCUCUGAUUUUGUAACAGUAGACAGAGUGCGGGGCUAAUCUAAUCUAAUCUAAUCAGUUUUAGAAACAUUAACUUUCCAUUUCUUUAUUUGAAAACAUUAGCUUUCCUUCUUGUCUUACAGAUGAAGCAGAUGAACUUUUAUAAGGAUGAGGGCUAUAUGUUAUUGGGUGAGUGGGUAGGUUCUCACUCUCUCAAGUCUGAAUGGAGAAGCUGUCGAGCUACACCUGCAUAGAUAUUCCCCAGAUAUGCUACACUAUCCAUAUAUUGAAUUCAGGUUGACUGCAUCAUGUUGCACAACAGCUAAGGUGAACAAAGAUGCACUUGUUUGCAAAACACAACCAUUUGUGCAAUUAUUUCAACCACAGAAUUCCACUUGUGUAUACCCAGGGUGCAACCACCAAGUGGUCUGUACUGUAUAUACUCAUGUAUAAAUGAAAAAGCGUUUGACAAAAAUUAUGCCAAAAACCCUUGGUCAAUGUAUACAUGAGUCAUUGCUUGAAUAGGAACCUAGUGCAAAGGUAGAGACAAGAGGCAGAGGCAAGAAGUGUUCCUCCGCUCUGCUGGUACGGCUGUACCAGAAGCUCCAACUUUAUUUUCUUUCUGCUAAUGUUUGCAGUCAUAGGGCAGGCCACCUGUCCAUCAUCAUUAAGUUUGGUUCCGCCUCUUGUUCAGGGCUCUGGAAGGGAAGGAGCCAUUUUUUAGUCAGUCU